CCUACGUGUGGCAGCAGUAGGGAAUCGUCCACAAUGGGCGAAAGCCUGAUGGAGCAACGCCGCGUGGGUGAAGAAGGUCUUCGGAGCGUAAAACCCUGUUGGUAGAGAAGAAAGUGCGGGAGAGUAACUGUUCACGUGUCGACGGUAUCUAACCAGAAAGCCAGGGCUAACUACGUGCCAGCAGCCGCGGUAAUACGUAGGUGGCAAGCGUGAUCCGGCUUUAGUGGGCGUAAAGGCAACGCAGGUGGUCUUUUAAGUCUGAUGUGAAAGCCUUCGGCUUAACCGGAGUAGUGCAUUGGAACCUGGGAGACUUGAGUGCAGAAGUGGAGAGUGGAACUCCCUGUGUAGCGGUGAAAUGCGUAUAUAUAUGGAAGAACCCCAGUGGCGAACGCGGCUCUCUGGUCUGUACCUGCCGCUGAGGUUCGAAAGCGUGGGUAGCAAACAGGAUUAGAUACCCGGGUAGUC
rnacentral:rRNA from 1 species